AUCCAGUGGUGUAACAGCGUUACUGCAGGCUGUAAUGCUUCAUCAUCACAUGGCUCCAUUCAGUCGAUGAACAAAGAGCAACACAGAGCAACACAGAGCAACACAGAGCAACAGCUCCACCUGCUGACUCAGAGCUGCGCCUGCAUCCUGCUGAAUUUGGAUAUGUCAGCAACAAAUGACCACGAUGAGCAUCUUAAUUAAAUCCAGCUGCUGCAGGAAGCAGCCAAACCUGCAUCUCGCUGCGUUCCAACAAGCAGACCACCCACGCACGAGGCCGAGGUGAGGAGGCAUCAGCCAGCCCGUGUUUUCAGCUCACAGGUGAACACAGAACAGACUGGAAGUCAUUUCAGGAAGAAAUUAACACAGGAGUCUAAUACUCUAAUGCUCCCACACAGCAAAUUGGAUUCGUGCGCUUCACUGCCUCUGAGUAUCAGUGUGUUGCAGGACACAAAGCCUCCUGCAGCAAGUGAGGA